UCUAAGAAAUUGGCAUCUAAUGAUAAAAUGCUAGAAAAUAUAAUAGAAUGGAUAAUUUCUCUAUUGCCAUCAAGAAUCAAAUUAGCUUUAAUAAAAUGAUUGAAUCUCAGUUAAAUCAAAUAGCUGCUGCUGUUCCUACUACUAACCCCGGUAUACCAUCACAACCGGAAGGAUUAGAAUCUGCAAAUCUUGUAGACACGUUUGAUGCAGGUAAUUGGAGUAACCCCGUCAGUGAAUUAUCUACUGACCUUCUGCCGGUCAAGAGAGGCGAUCUAGGACGCCCCGUCAUCCCGAUCUCUAUCGGCAUGGUGGACGUUCCAGAAGCACUCUGCGACUUUGGCUCCAGUGUCAACAUUAUACCCAGGGUACUCUAUGAAAAAUUCUUUACAUAUCCUUUAUUAGAAACAACCAUGUGUUUGCAGUUUGCAGAUCAGACGAUAACUUUUCCAAAAGGAAUAGUGAAGAACCUUUGUGUCCGAGUUGGUACCUUAUAUGCCCCAGCAGACUUCGUAGUGGUAGAGACCGGAAAUGAUGAGAGAGCACCUAUCAUCUUAGGGAGGCCAUUCUUGAACACCACGGGAGCUAUCAUCUACGCUAGUGCUGCUAAGAUCAGUUUCUACGUCAAAGGAAGGAAGGAGACAUUUUUCUUCAAGAACAAGACUACACAAAUUCCAGAUCAAUCCAGACGUCAAUCAAGGAAGAGGACCAACAGGAGGAACAGGAACAAGCAAGUGUGGACCGAGUCAGCUAAGAUGGUCACUGUAGUUCAUGGAGGCCAAGAUCACCAACUUAAGUCACCGCUUUUGACCAAGAAGGACGACCCAGGAAUGCCAAGCAUCUACUGCUCCAUAAAUGGAUAUAGUUUCUACAAGACGAUUUGCGACACCGGAUCGGGCGUCAACAUAAAGGCCGCAGUCACCUAUCGGCUCUUGUUCGGAACCAUGCCACUAAGACCAACAUACAUUCAACUCCAGAUGGCAGAUUCAGACAUUUUGAGAAGUUAAAGGAAUAGUAACUGAUGUCCCAGUCAAAAUAGACGAUCACUUUGUCUACACAGACUUUCAAGUUAUUGACAUGGGAGAAGACGAGUACGAUCCACCCAUCAUCCUUGGAAGACCGUUCCUCAGCACCGUUAAAGCAAUUAUCUACAUUGGAACCGGAGAAGUCCAUAUGCACUUCCCCUCAGAGAAGGUACGCCGUUAUUUUACUGACCCUAACUAUAUUGUUGAAGAAUCUAAGCAGGUAAGGAAAAGACGUAACCGCAACCAGAGGAGGCAGAUCAUCAAGGACGGAUGGGCAGACUACGAAGGAGAAGUUAUAAGGUCAGAAAACGUAGAGUUUAAACAGAAUUAUCCAGAGGAGACCGAAGCACCAAGUCAGGUGUGGAAAAUGAAGAUAACUAUACAUGAAGAGGAGGCGCCGCCGGAAGUACCGACUACGCCACCCAACGAACCUCAGGACGAUUGAAAAAAUUGAGAGUCCCGUUCGGAGGACUUAAAAAACACCGAACGCCUUGCCGAGAGAUAAACUUGGUAGUUAUCCUUUCCCUUUCAAUUAUUUCAACUAGUUUACUUAGUUAAUCAUGUUCGUACUAUCUUAAAAAUAAAAGAAAAAAAAAGCGAAAAAUAGUAAGCCCCAUGUGAGUAUGCGAGUGGCAUAAAACCCAUAAGUACAUUCGCUGUGGUGGCAUAAAAAUAAAAUAAAAAUUUCUUUUCUGCUUUAUAAAAUAAAAAUAUAAAAACAGGGAGUAAUAAUUAUUAAGGAGUCUCAAGAUGAUAAAGGCUACAUAUUUAUGCUAACACUUAAUCAGUUCCACAAGCUUUGUUGUCUAUUUAAGCUCCGCAGAAUUUAAGAAUCAAGAAGACUAGCAGACGGAGGACAUUCUAAUCGCUGUCAGAAUGCUGCUGACUUUCAAAUACACCUCUGCCACCUGCUAGCUACAUCAAGAGAAAUUACGUCAAAAUUCAGCUUGGGGGAGAGCACCCCCAUUUAUCUCGAUAAGUAUUUCUAUCUAUCUUUAUACUUAUAUUAUAUUAAAAUAUAAAUAUACAUAACUAUAAAAUAAUCAAAUAAAGAUUUUAAGCUUAUAUAUAUAUAUAUCUUUUGCUUAGUGUGUUUAAUAAAUAAAUAAAGUGGCGAUACUAAUCUGUAUCUAAAUAAAACUUAAGCAUGGAAAUGAUGAAUAGUUGCUCUGCCUAAUUUGCACAUUUUAAGUUCUCUCUCAAGUUUAGAUAUAACUGUUAUAAUUUAAAGCUUGCUCUAGACCUAAACUUGUGGGAUGAAAACUUGAUCUGAAGUCUAAGUUGUUAACGGAUACGAUAUGGGAAGGUUGAGCUGCUAUUUAUCUGUUCCUAGAGAUGCUAGAAUUCUGGAGAAUUUUAUCUUUGAAAAUCUUUAAAAUAUUGCAUGAUGAGUUCCUGUAUGAUGAGAGUUUAAAUUCCUACCACAGCCAUAUAUACAUGCUUGCUAGACUUUGAGCCACACAUUUACUAUUUACUGCUUAUGAGCAUUGAGUGUGGUCAAGCUGUGUAGACCCUUAGGAACUUGUCAUGUGGUUAAAUCAAGAUUCACUUGCACGUUCACUCAUAUAUGCUACUUCUACUCCGGAAGUACCAUCCACAUAUAUCCAUCCAUUUCCAUCUCCAGAAUCACCCAAAAAUAUUCUACUCCUGAUCCGGGAGAGAAUAGCCAAAAAUAUUUCUGUUUUCCCUUAUGAAAUAAAUGCUCAAGUUAUCUUGUUACUACCACUUGCUAUAUUAUCUCAAGAGAUGAAUGCUCUAAAAAAAAGAAAAAAAAAAGAGAGAAAUACGAGGAAAUAAAAAGGAGAAAGUGCUCGGAACCUCGAAAGAAAAGAGAGAGUGAGACGAGAGGUAAAAAUGGACAAGUGUCCGACAGUAGAAUUAGGGGUACAAGAUACCCACCUGAGAGAAAAGAAAAAGAAGAGCAUCUCAUUCUCCUCAUAAAGUUUCAAAAAAGCAAGAAAGGUAUGUAUCCCCUCAAAAGAGCAAAGUAGAAUUAGACUUCCACCACCAUUGUUAUCACCAUCAUCACCAUACAUCAUUCAUUCGCCACACAUGCAUAUCUUGAUUAAACUCAUUGGCUUGUUUCUUUGGAUCCAUGGUUUGACUAUGCAAUACAUGUCAUGUAAGUAUGUAUACUUUAUCUCCCACCUAUGAGCUCCAGAUAUUAAAGCCUUAUUAGAGAAGGGUGAGAGAGAAGGCAAUGUCACUAUGCUUUAUACCACAAAUACCACAUAUAUUGAGAGAAGGCAUAUACCAUUACUGCCUUGGUAAGGAUCCAGAAAUACCACAAAAGAGAGAUCUGAGAGAAUCAUACAAGGAAUCUCUGAGUUUUAUUUGAAAAUCUGCAAAAACCCCAGAGCUAUAGCUGAUCAAGAAUAAGGGACAUGGCACUUGACUAGACUGUUCUAUCUUUUAACCACUCAAGAUAGAAGUGACGGUUACAAGUCCCUUGGUAGAAGGUAAAGUAAGUAAGUUUUAAGUCUUGACAGAUUACUCUAACUCAGAGAUGAGAUCUUAUUUAAAAAGCAUGUGUACCGUCAAUUUUUAAAAAAUAUUGCAACAACUUAUGAUCCAUAGCUGAGUCUAUCCUUGCUCAGGGACGAGCAAGAGGUAAGCUUGGGGAGUUUGUUGACGGUCCUUAAGUAUCAAAUUUAAUUAUCAAAUAAACAAAGAAAAGGAUCCAAAUGAAAUCAACAUCUAGACUUAGGGUUUUAUCUGACAGAAUUCUACGAGUUUUGGUGUUUGUCUAUUUCUGCAGGGGGUUAUCAGGAAAUAUGGAAGAAAGGCCCACACGUCGGGAUUGCAUAGAGAUAUUAAUGUGCCACGCAAUUAUCUUACAUCUAGAAGACUCCCGAAGCCACGAGACCGAAGCGGAGGCGAAAUGGGGCCAGACCCUGGGCGCCCGCCCAGUUGGUCACGGCGCCCGCCCACCUCCUGAGUCCAAUCAGGACUCUGCUUUGCGGGAGAUUUCCACCGACCUAAAGGAUGAAUCUAAACCAUACAAUCUAUGUCGGUUUGAUCCAACGGCCCAUAUUCACUUGAAGGGACUAUAAAACCGGACCCCCUGCCCCUGGAGGAGAGAGCCUCUCAACCCUAAUUCAUUGUUCUUCAAGGGAGAAGAAGCCCCUGAUCAAGAUUAGAGCCACCACAUCAAUUAGAUACCUAGAUUAGGAUAGCUACAUAGGAUUAGAACUAGGAGUCAAUCUUCGAUUGGUUUCCGGAUCUGUCAGGAGGAUUCUUGGUAAUUCUCUAAUUGUGCUUCUAAUUGUUCUUCUAAUUAUCUUUGUUCUUCAAUAUUAUGAAUAUGACUUUGUUCUACUUCAAUAUAUUGCUUAUGACUUUGCUCUACAUGCUUAUAUUCAAGAUUAUAUUGUUCUUAGUUUAUCAUAGUUAUGUACUUGGCUUAGUUAGAUUGGAUCUAUAUACAUGCUUAGGAUCGUAUAGCGUUUAUCCAUCGGAUCCAUGGGUAAAUGAUAGAUAUUGUGUAGGCGUGGUGCUUAUACCGUAUUUAUCUGCGAUUGUACCCAAUAUGCCAGAUCGUGGGGUGGUUCGUGAUAGUGACAGCUUCAUUGAUUCUUAUAUAGUCCCCCUCUCGUGUAUUGGGCAGGCAGAGCAACAUUAUUACAGGGGAGUGAUUGCUAUGUUUCUCAUAUUCCUUGCUAAUAUCACUAUGCAUGGGCGUAGUCUUGUCUCGCAAUGAUUGCUAAGUAUGCUUGCACCAACUAUGAUAAUGCUAGACUAUAUAGUUGAGAAUAACUUAGGGAAUAUUCUUGUAGUUCGUUCUAAUAUCAUGCUAAUGACUUUCUAUAGUAUCUAAUUGAGGUGCUUAUCAUAUUUAUUAUGUGGCUAGAUCAGAUUAAUUAUCCUUGUCACUAUUCAUUAUUUGAUAUAUCUUUUAUGUGACACUUAUCCCUGUAUGAUGAGUUAGAUAUAAUGUUCUCAAUUAUACAUGCAAUGAUAGAUGCUCAAUCUCAUAUUCUAUUCUGUAAUCAAUAUUGAUGAUUGCUAAUCCCUUCCCAGUGGUAAAAAUAUAAAUAACGAUACCUGGAAUACUUCCCGGUUAAAAUGCUGCAUCGGUACUAAUCUGUGCGCUUGCAGAUCCCAUUCAUUAUUUAUUUAGAAGAGCAAUUGCAUAUUUCAAUACCGCAUCUCUUAUAUCAUGCUGGGGAUGACAACUUGGCUUAAGUGGUGUGAGGGAUAGGUUUGGCAUUUUUGGCACCGUUACUAGAUUUAGAGAACUUAGUCUACUUUUGGUCAUGAUGUUAAGAAUACCCAACAGUUGACUAGAGAUCCCUGGAUGUUUAUCUCACUCAAUGAAGAUGUGGACAAUCAAGAGAAGAUCACAUUUGGUGACAACUCAAUUGGCAAGGUCAAAGGUAUAGGAAAGGUUGCAAUAUCAAAUGACAACUCCAUCACCAAUGUGCUCUAUGUGUCAUCUCUUAGUUUUAUCUUGCUCUCGGUUGGACAACUUUGUGAUCUUGGUUUCCAAUGCCUAUUCAACAAUAAAGAAGUGAUAGUGACCAAGGAGGAUGAUAAUGAGAUGGUAUUCAAAGGCUUCCACCACAACAACUUAUAUCUUGUUGAUUUCUCCUCCGACGAAGUAGACAUCAAUACAUGUCUAUUCACCAAGACCUCACUUGGAUGGUUAUGGCAUAGAAGAUUAGCUCAUGUUGGAAUGGGGACACUUUAGAAGUUGAUGAAGAAGGAAAUGAUAAGAGGCUUGAAAGAUGUCACAUUUGAGAAAGACAAAUUAUGUAGUGCAUGUAAGCCGACAAGCAAGUGGCAAACACUCAUCCAAUCAAGGCCUAUCUCUCUACUUCUAAAGUUCUUGAGCUAAUGCACAUGGAUCUAUUCAGACCAACCACUUAUGCUAGUAUUGGUGGCAACAAGUAUUGCUUGGUCAUAGUGGAUGACUACUCCCGGUACACAUGGACAUUCUUCUUGCAAGACAAGGCUGAAGUUGCAUCAAUAUUCAAGAAGUUUGCAAAGAAUGCCCAAAAUUAAUUUGAGGUCAAAAUGAAGAAGAUUAGGAGUGACAAUGGCAAAGAGUUUGACAACACCAACACUGAAGAGUAUUGUUAUGAAGCUGGAACCACUGAGUGAUCGAGUGAGCCAUUUGAGGAACUAAAGCAAGCUUUGUUUUCCAAACUUUCAAAACCCUCUAGACAUAGUCUUAGCUUAACUAAAGCAAGGUAAGAAGUCUCUGCCUAUUGCUCCAUCUUACUUUUUGCAUGAUCAAAGUGAAAAGCUAAAAAGCCCCACAAUACUAUGAUUUAUGGUAAAACUUCAAAACUACUCUUUUGGAUAUAAAAAGCAUGGUGUUGUAUCAGUAGACUUUGCAAAGUUACUUUAUUAAAGCAAUGUCUAAUCCAACUCUUUUAUGAAAAACCCGCAUUUUGCUUGAGGACAAGCAAAGGGUAGCUUGGGGGAACUUGUUGAUGGUCCUUAACACCUGUUUUAACCAUCAACAUUUCAUCCAAAACCAUGAUAAAUCAACAUGAACAUGUGCAUAGUUUGGUUGUUACUUACCUAGUUCCACAUGUACAUAGAAAUUUAUUUGUAUGUAGGAAAUAACAGGAAAAAGAGCAAAAAGGACCCAACUAGAAGGCAACCCACCACACCUAGCGCCACAUAGGCCAACCAGGGUGGUGGGCGCCAUGCCAAGGGGUGGCGGCCGCCGAGCCCACCUAGCAGGCGCCACCCUCUGCGUGGCCAGCCACGUCACCGAUCCGAGAGACACCUCUAGAAGUCCAUCUAAGGCGUCCAAUGCAGAUUGGUCAUGUGGAUUGGUGAUGUGGCUUGGUAUGCUGGGGGUGGCACCUGCCAGGUGGGCCUGGUGGUUGCCACCUUGGCAAGGCGCCCGCCACCCUGGCUGGCCAAUGUGGCGCCAGGUGUGGUGGGUUGCCUUCUAGGUGUGUCCAAUUCACUCUUUUUCCUGUUAUUUCCUACAUACAAAUAAAUUUCUAUGUACAUGUGGAACUAGGUAAGUAUUAAGCAAAAUAUGCACAUGAUCAUGUUUAUUUACCAUGGUUUUGGAUGAAAUGUUGAUGGUCAAAAUGGGUGUUAAGGACCAUCAACAAGUUCCCCCAAGCUACCCUUUUAUUGUCUUCAAGCAAAAUGCGGGUUUAGUACAAAAGAGUUGGAUUAGGCAUUGCUUCACUGAAGUAACUUUGCAAAGUCUACUAAUACAAAACCAUGCUUUUUAUAGCAAGAGAUUGGUUUAGAGUUUUACCAUAAGUCAUUGUUGUGUGGGGCUUUUUAGCUUUUCACUUUGAGCAUACAAAAGUUAGACAAAGUAAUAGCCAGAAACUGUUCACCUUGCUUUAGUUAAGUUAAGACUCUAUCUGGAGGGUUUUGAAAUUUUGGAAGACAAAACUUGCUUUAGUUCCUCAAAUGGCUCACUUGAUCACUCAGUGGUGUUUGAUAAACCUCACUAACGCCAGAAGCGAUAGCCUUUAUUACCUACAUAUAAUGGAAUGAUAUGUGGAGCUAUAGGUAGGCAAAAACUAAGCAAACUUGUGUUGUGUAUAUUGUUAAGCUAGACACUUAGAUCGCUAGGAGCAACAAGUCAUGCAAAGAAGAUCAAAAUACGGUGAAGCUGGUUGGUUUAAUGAAAGGUGGGAGAGGAAUGAAGGAACAAUACUCCUUGAGACUUCCUCAUGUCCCUUGAAGGGGGAUAUGGUUGCUACGGAUAACUUUUUUUUGAUAAAUGAUAAGGACAGGAAUGUGUCCUCACAUUUUUGUUGGGCUACAUGCCUCAUAUGAAUUUUUCUUUCUCUCUUUUUUAGCAAACCAUAUCCUUUUCCUUUUAGAGAUUAAUUGUUGAGGAAUUUUUUGUGUGUCUCAACUAUACGGAGUAUAAAGUAGAAAGGACAAAUGUGUAUUUCUAGUGUAGAAAUAGCAUGGGGCUAGAAAUGGGAUGUAUGGAUGCUCUUGCAAAUCUCUAUGGUAGAGAAUAGGCAAUAAUUUGGUGUUUGCAAACUUCCAUAAUGGAUAGUAGGCAAUAGUAAUAGGUGUAAUGGGGAUCUUGAUCAAAAAGGCAUGACAAGUUUCUCUACUUAGAUCAAAUAAGGUCUAAUAGAACUCACACUGACAAGAGAUUUUUAUGAUGGCCUCCUAUCUAAUCGACGUGUAUAUGUGGCUAGUGGUAGGACAGGGAAAAAUACUAGAGGAACUUUGGCAGGAUUUGUGAUUUUCUUAGAAUAAAACUCCAAACUUGAUCUUAACUCUUCUUUAGGCAAGUUAAAAGAUUUACUGACUCUACUAGACCUUAUCUUACUGGGUAUAACUAUGGUGAAGCAUAUGCAACCAACAACACUUAGAUUUAUAGCAAACUUUACUCACCCAAAACUACAGUGGCAUGAAUUGCAUAGCACAUUUGUGCAUUGUUAUUCAGAGCAACGAUUCAUUAUUUCCAUCAUAUUAACAUGGGUUCAAUAGAAAUUGUAGUAGGAUUACUUUUCAGGUUAAGCAUAAUAAAUGGCAAUAUAUAUAUAAUCAAGCUAACCAUGUCCUUAAUAAGAUAUAACAAUAAAUGUGUAAAGGUAGAAAAGUAAAGGAGCAAUGAUGAGGACAUACUUAGUUGGGGGUGACCUCCCCCAAGCUAGCUUGUUGCUAGGUGUAGAGCUUCUUCUCUCAUACUGAUAUCCUUUGCUUUUAUUUAUUUGACUUAAAAAAUGGAAACCUAACUACUAUGGGGUUUUGUGAGUAAGCAAAGCGGGAUCUCACAACUAACUGUUUUGAACUUGCAAACUUCUUUGUGGUUAUUCAAGGUUUUCUUCCUUUCUUUUUCUCUCUUUAUUUUGUUAUUAUCUUUUUUUAUUUGUUUAUUUCCUCUCUCUCUCUUUUUUCCAAUUUAUUCAAUUACAUGCAAGAAAAGCUUAAAUUUUUUAUUGUGUUUUUAUUGUUUUAUAAGCAAUGAUUUAAAAUGAUCCUAAUUCUAAAUGCAAUAAAAAGAUGAACCUAAUCUAAAUGUAAUGCAUGGUUUAAAGGCAAAAUUUAAAUGCGGAAUGUAAAUGCAGAAUUUAAAUGUAGAGAGAUUAAGACAUACCUUAGAACCACGGGGGUUCUUCCUCAGCUGGAAGUUCUUCUUUCGGCGACUCUUCCUAGAGGAGAUCUUCUUCUUCUUCCUUUUUCAACGGGACCUCCUCCUUGUCAGGAGUCACACACAAGGAAGUUGAUGAGGGUUCCUUCUUGUGCCAUCCUCUUCUCCUUGAUAUUGGGUUCUUGGAUUCAGCCCUUUUCUUGUUCGUACUUGGUUUCUUCUAGUUUCUUGCUUCUUUUUCAUUGGUUCACUUUGCCUGCAAGUUAGUUGCAUACGAAGGACCACGAGCAAAAGGAAAUGUUUCUCUUUUCCAACAAGAGUCAUUUGAAUUUUCCUAGAACCAAUGAAAAAUGCAAGCAUCAACAGUAUUAAGAAAGGGAUGUCCCUGGAUUAGAGGGACAUCUUUACUAUUUUCCAUAUCUAAUAUCAUAAAAUCAGCAUGAAUAUAAGAGCCUCUAAUUUGAACUAACAGAUCAGUGGCUAUUCCUUCUAUAUAACAUUUUGAUUGAUUAGCAAGUUGCAAAUAAGCAGUAGUAAGGGCCAUGGGUGAGUAGAACAGAGUUUCAUACAUUUCCUUAGACAUUAUAUUAAAACUCAAUCCUAGAUCACAAACAACAUUUUUAAAAGUAUGAGGCCCAAUAGUGCAUUCAAUUAUAGGACUACCAGGCUCACUUUUCUUUAUAGGAAGAUCUUGAUCUCAAAAGUUAAAAUACUUUAUAUCAACAAGAUUAGGAGUCUCCAUAUUUUCAAGAUUAGCAGGAAUUCUACCAGAUUCAAAAGAUGGUAUAGCAGAAGCAAUUUGAGCUAAUUGGGUUUCUAACAUCUUAUUAAAGCUAAGUUGAUUUUUCAUAGAAGAGAAAUCAUCCAAUUUAGCAUUUAUAUUCCCAAGCAUCUUGUCAUUAGCAAAACUUUUUAUUUAAGUUUUUAGUUAAUCUACCUUGACUAUAAACAAGAUCUUUUAAACUCGGAUACCCAUUGUUGUUAUUAUUAGGAAAAUUAGAACAAGGAAACAAAUUAAAAGUGUUGCCUUGAGAAUUGGAGCGCUGAUUUCAUCCUUGAUUUGGUUGGCGAAAACCAUUAUCGUUGUUGAGGAAGUUGACAUCUUCAUGCGUCUCUUGGCAGUGAUUGCCUGAAUGUCUAGACUCACCACAGACUUUGCAAGUCAUGUGUGAAUCUAGGGCUUAAAUUGCUUCUUCAGUACUCAUCCUUUCGCAUUGCUCUAGCUUCUUGGCCAAUACAUCCAUCUUGGCUACAAUCAUGUCAGCUUCUUUAAGAGAAUGCAUGCCUCUCUUGUGGGGUUGUAGUCAUUCAUCAUUCAACCUUGAUUGGACACCAUCUUCUCUAUCAACGCUUUAGCAUCUACAACACUAAGAGAGAAAAAGGCACCGCCAGCUGCGACAUCUAAAUGGCUCCUAUCUAGAGGGACUAGACCAUGAUAGAAGUUCUGGAUCAAAAGCCAGUCUUCCAUCCCAUGGUGCGGACAGGGCAGUGACAUACUCUUGCAUUCUCUCGCAAGCAUCGAGAAUGGAUUCCUCAGCUUGUUGUGUAAAACUAGAGAUUUUAUUAUAGAGAGCAUUGGUCUUGCCCAUAGGGAAGAACUUAACUAGGAAAGCGUUGGAACACUUGUCCCAUGUAUCUAUAGAAUCGUGAUUGGCAUAGAACCAUUGCUUCGCUUUUCCUAACAGAGAGAAAGGAAAGAGACGAAGACGGAUAGCUUCUUGCGGAAUUCCCUUGAUAGUGAAGGUGCCAAUAUCUCCAAGAAAUGUUGGAGAUGCCCAUUAGCAUCUUCAUGAGCCUUGCCACAAAAAGGACCAGCUUGGACCAUAGUGAUUAAUGCGGGCUUCAACUUAAAGUUGGAGUUAGCAACAGAAGGAGCAGAGACUUCAUGAAUGGUCUUGGCCAUGUUUGUGAAAGAAGGGAUGAUGGGAAAGAAAAGGAUAAAGAAAGAAAUGAAAGAUAAAACUAAAGGGGAUAAAUUGGAGUAGGAUAACUCUGAUGAUCGGUUCUUAAAGAACUCGAUAGGCACACUGAUUGCCUUCCUCAGUAAUGGCACCAGAAAUGCUUGUUGACACUUCUUAACGACACUAGAAGAGGACAGAAGUUAACUACUAUCCUAGUAGUGGUACAAAAAACAUUGUGUCGGUAGUUCUUAGCUACACCUAAAGUGUGGCUAGAGUUGGCUAGUCUACUCAUGCCUAGUGGGGUUGUCAAUCCCAGUAGUAAUAGGGCCAACAUGAGUGAUUGCAAUCAACCUAAGAUGAAUGGGAUCUGUAAGCACACAAAACUAUCGUGUUUAGCACUUCGCCUGGAGAGUGACCAGGUGUCAAUUUAUAAUUUCCUAAAACAAGGCUAGGGCGAUGUGGUCGAGUUGAGAAAGAAUAGAUAAUCAUAGUUAGGAUGGUAAAGAAUUGGUUGGCUAGCAAGAAUGGAUGGAUGGGUAAGUUGAUAUGUGGAUGGUUGAUGGAUAAUAAAAUAAAAGAUAAGGUAACUAAACUAAUCUGCCAACUAACCUAAGGGUUUUGAAGGAUAAAUAAGAGUGGUAUUAGUUUUGCGGAACUAAGGAUAGUAUAAUACUAGUUAUUCAAUUCAAGCAAAGAGGCGUACUCGUUCUGAACUCACCGUAUGGUUGCUCAGGCACGAAGCACAACGAGCUUUAUGUUUUAGGAACUAGACCAAACAUGGGAGAAUACGUAGACAAUCAGGGCUAUCACCACCUAGUGUUACCCUAGCUAUCCAUUGGGCUAGCCGUAUAUGAAGAUAAUCCUAAAGCCUAAGCACCACGCUUAAUCUAUAUUCCUACUAUCUUUACCUGAGCUCUUGAAUAAAGACACCCUAACUAGACGAUUGAGCAAUUCCUUAACUUGAAUAACUAACACUAAAAUAACCAAGCAAUUAUUGCCACACAAUCAAGCACCUAAGCUCACUAAUGAUAUGAUCACUAUAAACUAAGUACUUGAAAGGUAAACAAUCAAUAUAACACACAAAUACUGAAAGUAAAUGAUAACUGAUAAAAUCAGUGCUAAGAUAGCAAAGGUAUAAUACUAGAAUGGAGAGGAGGAAGACUCAUCCCGACUCCAAGCUGAUCUACACCUAGCUACUCUUCCCGCUUACAACUCCAAGCUACUAGAGCUAGGCUAAGCUGGGGGCAUGUUGACGGUCCUUAAGUAUCAAAUAUAAUCAACAAAUAAAUAGAGAAAAGGACCCAAAUGCAACCGACACCUAGACUUUGGCUUUUAUCUGACAGAAUUCCAUGAGUUUUGGUGUUUGUCUAUUUCUGUAGGGGGUUAUCAGGAAAUAUGGAGCAAAGGCCCACACGUCGGGUUUACAUAGAGAUAAUUACGUGCCGCGCAAUUUUCCCUAACCUAGAAGAGUCCAGAAGCCACGGGAACGAGCGGGAGGCCGAGCGGGCCUGGGGAUAGGGCACCCGCCCUCCCCCCUUGAGCGCCCGCCCUGGCUCAGCAGCCAAUCAGGCUAAGUCUCGCGGAUGAUGCUCCACCGACCUAGAGGAUGAAGGAAAACCGUGCGAUUAAGGUCGGUUUGAUCCGAGGCCCAUAUUUAUUUGGAGGGACUAUAUAAACAGGCCCCCUGGCCCCUGAAGGAGGCAGCUCUGAAACCCUAAUUCAUUCAUUCAUCUCGGGAGAACAAGUCGCUGAUCAAGCCCUAGAGCCACCACUUCAACUAGAUCUCUAGUUUAGCAUAGCUACAUAGGAUUAGAACUAGAAGGAGUUAAUAUUCGAUUGUUUCCGGAUCUGUCAAGAGGAUUCUUGGUAAUUCCUGUACUGUUCCUCAUUUGUUCAUCAUUGUUCUUCAAUAUUAUGAAUAUGACUUUGUUUUACUUCAAUAUAUUGAUUAUGACUUUGCUCUACUUGUUUAUAUUUGCAAUUAUAUCGUUCUUAGUUUAUCAAAGUUAUAUGCUUGGCUUAGUUAGAUUGGAAUUAUAUACAUGUUUAGGAUCGUAUAGCGUUUAUCCAUGUGUAUAGUGGGUAAAUGAUAAGUAUUGUGUAGGCGUGGUGCCUAUACCGUAUUUAUCUGCGAUUGUACCCUAUAUGCCGGAUCGCGGGGUAGUUCGUGGUGGUGACAGCUCCAUUGAUUCUUAUGUAGUCCCCCUCCCGUGUAUAGGGCAGGCAGAGCAACAUUAUUACAGGGGAGUGAUUGCUAUGUUUCUCAUCUUCCUUGAUAAUAUCACUAUGGAUGGGUGUAGUCCUGUCUCGCAAUGAUUGUCAAGUAUAAUUGCACUAACUAUGAUAUGCUAGACUUUAUAGUUAAGAAUAACUUAGGAAAUAUUCUUGUAGUUCAUCCUAAUUCCAUGCUAACGACUUGCUAGAAUAUCUGUUGAGGUGCUUAUCCUUAUUAUAUGUGGCUAGUUAUGCUGAUCAGAUUAAUUAUCUUUGUCACCAUUCAUACUUUAUAUGAAAGAGAUAGAUAAAUGCUCUCUAUUACACAUGCAAUGAUAGAUACUCAAUUUCAUAUUUCAUUCCAUAAUCAACAUUGAUGAUUAGCAAUCCCUUCCUAGUGGUAAAAAUAUAAAUAAUGAUACCUGGAAUACUUCUUGGUUAAAAUGCUACAUCGGUAUUAAUCUGUGCGCUUGUAGAUCUCAUUUAUUUAUUCAGAAGAGCAAUUGCAUAUUUCAAUACCGCGUCUCUCAUGUCAUGCUGGGGAUGACAACUUGGCUUAAGUAGCAUGAGGGAUAGGUGGAGGUACGCACUAGCUCAAGGAGGUAGACAUGUUGUCUGCCAAGCUAGACCUGCUCAUGAAGAAUCUCGAGGAUAGAGCUGGAGAUAAGAAAGAAGUCAUGCAUGUCUACGACUCUCACAUGACUUGUCAGGAGUGUGGAGAUACUGGACACUCAGGCAAUCACUGCCCUGAGAUGCUUGAGGACGUGAACUACAUCAACAACAACUACAACUACUACUACAACAACCAUCCUCAACAAAAUCAAGGUUGGAACCAAUAGAGGCCUAACUAGUCAGGUAAUUAUCAAGGUAAUAAUUCUUACAAUAAUAAUAAUAAUUUUCCACCUCUGAGAGAGUUAGUGUCUAAUCAAGGAAAGUUAAUGGAUAGCCUAUCUAAGAAAUUGGCAUCUAAUGAUAAAAUAUUAGAAAAUAUAAAUAAUAAAAUGGAUAAUUUCUCUACUGCCAUCAAGAAUCAAAUUAGCUUUAAUAAAAUGAUUGAAUCUCAGUUAAAUCAAAUAGCUGCUGUUGUUCCUGCUACUAACCCCGGUAUACCAUCACAACCGGAAGGAUUAUAAUCUGCAAAUCUUGUAGACAUGUUUGAUGCAGGUAACUACUGGAGUAACCCCAUUGUGGAAGUAACUACUGACCUUCUGCCGGUCAAGAGAGGUGAUCCAGGACGCCCCGUCAUCCCGAUCUCCAUCGGCAUGGUGGACUUCCCAGAAGCACUCUGCGACUUUGGCUCCAGCGUCAACAUUAUGCCCAGGGUACUCUAUGAAAAAAUCUUUACACAUCCUUUAUUGGAAACAACCAUGUGUUUGUAGCUUCCAGAUCGGACACUAAGUUCCCUAAAGGGAAUAUUGAAGAACCUCUGUGUCUGAGUUGGUGCCUUGUACACCCCAGCAGACUUCGUGGUGAUAGACACCGGUUCUGAUGAGAGGGCACCCAUCAUCUUACGGAGGCCAUUCCUGAACACCUCGGGAGCUGUCAUCUACGCUAGUGCUGCCAAGAUCGGUUUCUACAUCAAGGGGAGGAAGAAGACGUUUUCAUUCAAGAACAAGACUGCACAAAUCCCAGAGCAAUCCCGACAUGAACCAAGGAAGAGGACCAACAGGAGGAAUAGGAACAAGCAAGUGUGGACCGAGUCAGCGAAGAUGGUCACUGCAGUUCAUGGAGGUCAAGAUCGUCGACUCUAGUCACCGUUCCUGACAAAGAAGGAUGACCCAGGUAUGCCAAGCAUCCAAUGCUCCAUUAAUGGAUACAACUUCUAGAAGACGCUUUGCGACACCGGGUCGGGCGUCAACAUAAUGGCUGCAGUCACCUAUCAGCUCCUGUUCGGAACCAUGCCCCUAAAACCGACAUACAUUCAGCUCCAGAUGGCAGAUCAGACAUUUCGAAAGGUUGAAGGUAUAGUAACUGAUGUCCCUGUCAAAAUAGACGAUCAUUUUGUCCAUAUAGACUUUUAGGUUAUUGACAAGGGAGAAGACGAGUACGAUCCACCCAUCAUCCUUGGGAGACCGUUCCUUAGCACCGUUAAAGCAAUCAUCUACAUUGGAACCGGAGAAGUUCACAUGCACUUCCCCUCUGAGAAGGUACGCCGCUAUUUUACUGACCCUAACUAUAUAGUUGAAGACUCUAAGCAGGACAGGACAAAAAGAAGACGACGCAACCGCAACCAGAGGAAGCAAAUCAUCAAGGACGGAUGGGCAGACUACGAAGUAGAAGUGGUAUGGUUUGAAGACAUACAGCUUGAACAGAACUAUCCUGUGAAGACCGUAGCACUGAGUCAGGUGUGGAGAGAGAAGAUUGUUAUACACAAAGAGGAGGUGCCGCCGAAACCACCGACUACGCCAUCCAGCGAUUCCCAGGACGACUGAGAAAACAGAGAGUCCCGUUCGGAGGACUUAAAAACACCGAACGCCUUGUCAAGAGGUAAACUUGGUAGUUAUCCCUUUUCUUUUAAUUAUUUAAAAUAGUUUGCUUAGUUAAUCAUGUUCAUACUAUCCUAAAAAGAAAAUAAAAAUGUUAAAACCAGUAAGCCCCAUGUGAGUAUAAAAGUGGCAUAAAACCCAUAAGUACAUUCACUGUGGUGCCAUAAAAAAAUAAUAAUAAAAUAAAAAUAUUCUUCUGCUCUAUAAAAAUGAAAAUAUAAAAAUAAAAUUGUGAUCCUACCAAAGAAAGUAGCAUUUAUUAAGGAGGCUCAACAUGAUAAAGGCUAGAUAUUUAUGCUAACACCUAAUCAGUUCCACAAAGCUUUGUUGUCUAUUUGAGCUCCAUAGAAUUCAAGGAUCAAGAAGACUAGCAGACGGAGGAUAUUCUAAUCACUGUCAGGGUGCUGCCGACAUUCAAAUACACCUCUGCCACCUGCUAGCUACAUCAGAAAAAAUUACGUCAAAAUCCAGCUUAGGGGAGAGCACCCCCAGUUAUCCCGUUAAGUAUUUCUAUCUAUCUAUAUACUUAUACUAUAUUAAAAUAAACAUAUACAUAACUAUGAAAAAACAAAUAAAUAUUUUGUGCUUAUAUAUAUAUAUAUCUUUUGCUUAGAGUACUUAAUAAACAAAUAAAGUGGCUAUGCUAAACUAAAUCUUUAUAAAACUCUAGCAUGGAUAUGAUGAAUAGUUGGUCUGCCUAAUUUUCAAAUUUGAAGUUCUCUCUCUAGUUUAGACAUAACUGUUAUAAUUUAAAGCUCACUCUAAAAACCUGAAUUUGUGGGAAGAGAACUUGAUCUAAAGUCUAAGUUGUUAACGGAUAUGAUAUGGGAAGGUUGAGCUGUUGUUUAUCUAUUCCUAGAGAUACUAGAAUUCUGGAGAAUUUUAUCUUUGAAAAUCUUUAAAAUAUCACAUGAUGAGUUCCUAUAUGAUGAGAGUUUAAAUUCCUACCACAGCCAUAUAUACAUGCUUGCUAGACUUUGAGCCACACAUUUACUUUUUUACUGCUUAUGAGCAUUGAGUGUGCUCAAGCUGUGUAGACCCUUAGGUGCUUGUCAUGCGGUUAAAAUCAAGAUUCACUUGCACGUUCACUCACACAUGCUGCUUCUACUCCGGAAAUACGCAUCCACUCAUUUCCAUCUCCAGAGCCACCCAAAAGUAUUCUACUCCUAAUCCGGGAGAGAAUAGCCAAAAACAUUCUCCUAUUUCUGUUUUUCCCUGUGAAAUAAAUGCUCGAGUUAUCUUGGUUACUACCACUUGCUAUAUUAUUUCAGGAGAUGAGUGCUCUAAAAAGAAAAAAAAAAGAGAAAAGAUAUGAGGAAAUAAAAAGAGACAAGUGCCCGAAACCUCAAAAGAAAAGAAAAAGUGAGACGAGAGGUAAAAAUGGACAAGUGUCCGACAGUAGAAUUAGGGGUACAAGAUACCCGCCUGAGAGGAAAGAAAAAUAAAAUGUAGAGCAUCUCAUUCUCCUCAAAAGUUUCAAAGAGCAAGAAAGGUAUGUAUCUCUUCAAAAGAGCAAAAGUAGAAUUAGACUUUCACCAUUAUUACCACCAUCAUCACCAUACACCAUUCAUUCGCCAUACAUGCACAUCUUGAUUUGACUUAUUGACUUGUUUCUCUAGAUCCAUGGUUUGACUAUGCAAUAAAUGUCUUGUAAGUAUGUAUACUCUAUCUCCCACCUAUGAGCUCCAGAUAUCAGAAGCCUUAUUAAAGUAGGGUGAGAGAGAAGGCAAGGUCACUAUGCUUCAUACCACAAAUACUACAUACUUUGAGAGAAGGCAUAUACCAUCAUUGCCUUGGUACGGAUCCAGAAAUACCACAAAAGAGAGAUCUGAGAGAGUCAUACAAGGAGUCUCUGAUUUUUAUUUGAAACUCUGCAAAAACUCCAGAGCUAUAGCUGAUCAAGAAUAAGAGACAUGGCGCUUGACUAGACCGUUCUAUCUUUUAACUGCUCAAGACAGAAGUGACGGUUACAAGUCCCAUGGUGAAAGGUAAAAUGAGUAAGUCUUGACGGUUUACUCUAACUCAGAGAUGAGACCUUAUUUGAAAGCAUGUGUACCGUCAAAACUCAAAGGCAUUACAACAACUUCUGAUCCAUCACUGAGAUUAUCCUUGCUCAGGGACGAGCAAGAGGUAAGCUUGGGGGAGUUUGUUGACGGUCCUUAAGUAUCAAAUAUAAUCAACAAAUAAAUAGAGAAAAGGACACAAAUGCAGCCGACACCCAGACUUAGGGUUUUAUCUGACAGAAUUCCAUGAGUUUUGGUGUUUGUCUAUUUCUGUAGGGGUUAUUGUUGGUAUUUUAAACGCAAACAGAAAAAAUCCGCAAGCGCACGGAUACCGAUGUAGCCUUCACCCGGGAGUAUUCCAGAGUAUCGAUUUUCCACAGAGAACGUGAGUGUACUAAUUAAGAUCCAAGAUCGCCCAAGGAUAACUAUAUAAUUAUUUUUGGUGGGAAGAGAGGAAGUUUCCUGAGAGUUCUCUAGUUGAUCUAAGAAUCAAGAAUUACUUCAAAGAUUAUCUAUAUCGGGACAUCAGAGCACUAACCAUAGAAAGAGAUGAGAAGGGCGCUAGGAAGGUCUGACUACGGUCCUACAAACACCGAUCCGAACGAGGUGGAAUACGUCGACCGUUAGGGCUGUCACUACCCUAAGGCUACCACAACAAUCCGUAGGAUUGGGUGCAAUUCCAGGUAAUUGCAAGACUAAACACCACGUCUAAUCUAUUAAUUACUACUCUAAUGUUGCAAAGAUUAGAGCACUUGAUGCAAGCGGGAAUCCAAUAAAUAACUUGAAUGUAAAUAAAAGUAAUUAAAGAACUCAGCAAUUAUGAAUUGAAGAACCUGGAGAACGAUGAAGAACGAACGAGUUGCUGCAAAAGUACAAUGUUGAGGAAGAUCCGACAGAUCCGGCUCCUCCUCCGCUCUCCUCUUCUCUCUCCCUAUUUUCUAGAUUACAACUAGAACUAACUAGAACUAGAACUAGAGGAACUAGAACUAGAACUAGAUGAACUAGAACUAGAUCUAGAUGAACUAGAGGUAGAACUAGAAAAACUAGAAGGACCCUCUCUACUUGGAUGGAGAAAUGGAACCCUAGCUUUGAUUCUGUAGAAGAGGUAUGCCUCCAGGGGCUGGUGGGGGUCUGCUUAUAUAGUCCUUUCAGAUGAAUCUGGGCC
rnacentral:lncRNA from 1 species